CAUUUGCCAUAACGCUGCAUUGGAUAUCAAGGUACUGUAUUCCAGAUCCGAUGACCAAUAAUGACUACAAUAAUGCAGUGAUCCAGAACAAUGCAAUUGGGCGUAAGCCCUGAGCGUUUCAAUGCGACCAUGUACCGCAGCAAGGCCGCAGAAGCAUUGAGGCCUGAAGACAGCGAGGAGACCAGAGUAUGCAGGGUUUCUAGUGUUUCUAGCUUUACAGAGGAGGAGUAAGAGUCGGGAGCUGCAGCCAUGGAGCCAGCACCAAACCCAGAGCAUGUCCCUCACAGCAAAGCACAGCACAGCACCAGCACUCACCACGAUCACAGAGAAAAAGAGCUUUCGUGCACGGAGGAUUGUGGUUUAGGAGUGUGUUUUGUUUAUUUUGUCAGGACUGUAAAAUCUGCCAUGUUUCCCCCGAUACCACUGCUGGUAGAGGGGUGGAAUAUUAUUAUUUGUUUUACAAAAUAAAACACGGACA